UCCCACCCCCUUCGAGUGUUCUGCCUCUCUGGCCCCAGCUGGAUGUGAGCACAGCUCGGUCAGCUGAAGCGCCUGCUGAUUCCCCAGAGGAGAGGAAGCGUGAGCUCCCGCCCCAUGGCAGGAGGGCGUAGAGGGCUGGAUGCAGGUGUUAUUGGAUGUAUAUAUUUGGGGGGGGGUUCAUGCCUACUUUCAACCACAAAACUACUGAUAAGAACUGAGUGACCCCAAGUGAAGAAGGUUCCCAAACUCAGACAACAUAGCCCUUCUCUUCCUCACAGCAGUUCCAUGCUCCUCAUAGAUGACCUGCUUUGUGCCUCGAGGUGCAAGCAGGGCACCAUGUGCCUGGCUCUCCAGCUCUCAGUGGCUGUGAUAGUGGCUCCAAUCCCUGCCCGACCCUGGAUCGUGUGGACAACAUGCUGGCACCCACUGAAGGUGCUGAACUAACCACCGAUGUCCCACCCAACUGGAGUGUCAACUGCACCUUCUCUGUUGCUGCUGAAGUCUCUGUCACAUGAUCUUGCUAACCCUUGUAUCUUUAAUGUCCUCUCACAUGGACAUUUUAACGAAACAGCUCUUUUUAGUUUCACUGGCUUUUUAAAACCAUGGCACCUGGGUCACAGGAUGUCGGGUGCAGCCAACAGUGGGCGAAAUCAUCCCUCCCUUCUGGCCCUGUCGGGUGUCAUUGAACCCAGUUUGUGUACUUUGACUUUUCUGUUAAGAGUGAGUUACUUCCCAGCAGUCCCCUGGCCUGGCCUGUAGAAACUGAACAGGGUUAUUCCCCUCUCUGCCAGCUAUGCCCAGGCUUGUCUGAGUCCUCCAUGCUUGGUCUCCAGCUAGGGUGACCGCCUGUCUGCGCUGGCCAGGGUCAGUCCUGGUUUAUGACUGCUGUACUGGCAUAAUUAUUUACAACUGUCCAUGUAACUUUUCAUUGUCCAGGUUUGGGUGGUAAAUUGUAUAGUAUGCCUUUCAAGCCAUCUCCAGGAAAGUUUUCCAGAGGUGAAGCAGAAUCAACAGCCCAUUUUAGAACAGUCAAGAAAGAGGACGUAGAAAAGAAUUUCGAACUCCGAAGCCUGGUUGGUGGUGGUGCUGCAGAGAUCUGCCUCGUUCGCUGCCCUGCUUUUCUGCUCGGCCCCAGGGCUGGCAGCCACUUGGCUCCACCUUCAGGCCCUGCUGGGCUCUGGGCCGAGAUAGAAAGAGCUGCAAUAGAUGGACUGCUCUGAAACUCAGUUGCAGGUUAACAAUUGUGGUGGUGGGCCCCUCCGGCAUUCCCUGCACCCAGCUUUUUUCUAAUCUCUGGCUUCUGCUGUUUUCCUGAGAGAGUUUCUGUCUCAGUUCUGAGUGGAGGCCUAAUGAUCUCUUGCCAUCCCCCCAUCCCUGGCCUGCCCUGGAACUGGACUCUGGCUCCUGACCCUCGGUCAGGUGGGUCCUGUGUGCACUGCAGCUCUCUCCAGGUGGCCUGUCCUACCCUGGUACUUGCUGUGCUCCCUCCCACUCCCCCAAAGCACCUGCUCUUUGGAAGCCAUUUCGUAACCUCUUGUUGCACCAGCAUGAGGGUUCCCGCCACAGUAGGGCAGCCCAUCAGAAAGAGCAGGGGCAUCGGAGUCACAUGACUUGGGCUCUCAAGCCCCUGACUUCUGAACUCAGGUAUGAAUCAGUGACGUGGGGCUGGAUCAGUCUUUGGGAAAAUCAAAUUUCUGAACUUGAGGAAUCAAGACUGUACUUAAAAGAAACUGGGGAGGAGAGCCUGGACCAGCUGGCUCAAUUUCCUGCCUUCAUGUCAGGAAGUUUGGGCAGCCCCUGAGGCCGGGCCUGUUCCCUCCCUGCUGCUACAAGCCCAGGCAGCCCUGCAUGGGGUGUGUAACUAACCCUUUCCCCCUUCUCAUCUCGUUGGUUUUGGGGAAACCAAUUUUUGAAAUUUGCCAAAAAUGGAGAAAGAAUCUUCUGCUCUUUAAACCUCUGUCUUUUAGUAAUACUUAGUUCAUUUUAAAUCUAACCUAAAAUAAGGAGAAAGAGUAUUAUUUUCAUCACUUCCCACUGUACUGAAUUCAGAGUGAGGUGGAAACACGUAUGUUAGAAGCAUCCAUAGUAAUGACCAAGACAUUGGCAAGGCCAACCAGAUAAUAGUUGUUCUUCCUGGAAUGGGAGACGACAGGGGAGAAAAGUAAGAUUUCAGUAAACAUCUCUCUCCUGUGCAGAAAUUCCCCGUGUGGGACUCAGAUCUGAUUAAAUGAGUCAGGCUUACAUUUAUUCCAGUAUAUUACAAACAUUUUUCAGCAUUCAGAAUGACUGCUGUCUCCGUGGAUUUGGCCAGUUCCUGGCAAUUCCGCACUUGGCUGCUGGUAUAAACCAGUGUGCCGAAUGCCUGGAAUGAUGGUCCGUGUCUGCGUGGCUUUCAAUCCAGGAAGGGUGUUGUCGAAACACCACGUUCCUCCCCAGGGUGGCCAAAUCCUGGUAACAGUUCUGUUCUUUCAGUCUAUUUAUCCUGAAACUUGACCAGAAAGCAUAUGGCCACACCCCUUGCUUCUGCAGCACACACCUGGGGGACCUCCCAUGGAUUUGACAAUGUCUAUCUGUCACUUAGUCCAGAAAUGGUUUUGUGACUAGUGCAUUAGUCAGAAAAUCACAUUCUGAACGAAGCAUGUCAGACAGAUUAUCAGAAAACACCGAUUCUUUCAGAGACUGUUAAAUCUGGAGGCUGGGCCAAGUCCCCAUUUGAGUGAUGGCAUUCUUUUUCUGAAACGUCCUUCCAGUUUUAUUUGAAUGAGUAUUAACCAAACUGUCCUCAGUGUAGCUGAUUCACACUUGUUCUUUGUGCUUCAGCCCUUUAUUAAGAAGAAAGGCUGUUCCUUGGCACAUUCUGCGUAGCAGUGGAAGCUGCGGAGAAGCCAAACAUUUUGUAGGAACAUGAGCAAGGACUGUCUUGGCACGUUUGUGGAGAGGGUUAGGCUGUGUGCUCUCGGAGACAGGGCUUUCUCGUCUGUCUUUUUAACGACCAUUAACUGUAUCGAGACAAGUGUCUGGCUCAUAAUAGCCACUCAGUAUUUGUUGAAUGGAUAAAUAAGUGAAUGAAUAAUUGUAAGUCUACCCUCUUUUGAAAUGCAUAUCAAAUACCAUCUUGUCCAUUCCUUCCUCUCAUUGUUCUCAGUUAAUUUUUAUUUAGUUAGAAGUCAUUUAAAAGCAUUUCUGUACUAAAUGAGGCAAAUUGAAAGUAAAUAUGGCUGUCUUAGCCGGGGCCUGGUGUGUACAUGUCCAUUUUUUUCAUUUAUUCCUGCCUCUCUUCCUCCCCUAACCUUCAUAGCUCUGAGCAGGAGGUAGCCCCCUUCCCCUGGCUCAGACUUUGCCUCAUCUGCCUCACAGAGAAAAAUCUGUCUGCAUCUAUAACGUUAUGUGGCCAUGACAUACUCACCUUUCCUAUAGUUUGAACGAAGCAUCCCUUCUAUACAAGACAGACCCCCUCCCUUCUAUUGAACUCUGCAGCACAAAUUAUUCAUCUCUUUUCUGCCUUCUCAUUGCUGUUGGUUUCUUACAGCCCAUUAGAAGAAUUAAGUCUCACCAAUAUUAAAACAGACACACACACACCAACAGAACAAUAAACUCCAAGCCCCGCCAACUGGCCUCUUAUCACUUUAACCCUCACAGCCUAGUUUUUCAAUAGAAAGGUGUGCAUUCAGAGAUUUGACUUUCUCACUUUAAAAAAAUCCUACUAUCCUUUGAAAAAUUAAACAAGAAAAAAAAGUCCUUUCAGAAGGAAAAUUCAAAAUCAGAAAAUAUGUCUCUCUUUAUUUUAUUUUAUUUAUUUAUCUUUAGAGAGGAAGGGAAGGAGAGAGGAAAAGAAACAUCAGUGUAUGGUUGCCUCUCAUGCAUCCCCUGCUGGGAACUGGCCUGCAACCCAGGCAUGUGUCCUGACUGGGAAUCGAACUGUAAUCUUUGGGUUCACAGGCCCGUGCUCAAUCCACUGAGCUACACCAGGCAGGGCUAUUACCUAUUUUUCUUUCUUGCUAGUUAGACUUCUUAGGACAAGAACAUAAAUCCCAAAUCUAAUUACAUUUUUCAUGGAACUUUCUGUUGGUAAAAUCUCUUGACAACAAAAGAGA